rnacentral:rRNA from 1 species
UACGUGGGUGGCAAGCGUUGUCCGGAUUUACUGGGCGUAAAGAGCGCGCAGGCGGUCGUAUAAGUCGAAUGUGAAAGCCCCCGGCUCAACUGGGGAGGGUCAUUCGAUACUGUUCGACUCGAAGGCAGGAGAGGGAAGUGGAAUUCCGGGUGUAGUGGUGAAAUGCGUAGAUAUCCGGAGGAACACCAGUGGCGAAGGCGACGCUCUGGGCCGGUACUGACACUGAGGAGCGAAAGCGUGGGUAGCAAACAGG